rnacentral:rRNA from 1 species
ACGGGCUAGCGAUCCCAUAAACCGUGGCUCAGUUCAGAUCGUAGGCUGCAACUCGCCUACGUGAAGUAGGAAUCGCUAGUAAUCGCAGGUCAGCAUACUGCGGUGAAUACGUUCCCGGGCCUUGUACACACCGCCCGUCACACCAUGGAAGUUGGCCAUGCCCGAAGUCGUUACUCCAACCCUUGUGGAGGAGGACGCCGAAGGUGGGGCUAAUGACUGGGGUGAAGUCGUAACAAGGUAGCCGUACCGGAAGGUGCGGCUGGAUCACCUCCUAA